rnacentral:lncRNA from 1 species
UGAUGUAAAAUACGUGACGAUAUCCAUUUGAGUGCUGGUACCGUAAUGAACAUGACAGAUACAGACCGAGCGGGAGAAUCCCACUAGUUUGUUAAACAUUUUUUGGGAAUCGUUGAUACACUUUAGGAUAUGACACGUCUACAUGUACGUAUUGCAUUUUUUUUUAUUUUUUUUUUUAGUUUUUGCUAAAACAAACGUAAAACUUGGCUCACUAUUGUAGCCAUUUGUUGGGUUACAUGUGCGUUGGUAAAUCGAGUAGGGCACUUAGGAAAUAAAAACUUAUUACAACAAAAAACUAGAUUGAAUGUAUCAAAAUAUAAAAAUUAAACAGAACCGGAAAGAUAGACAUAUCAUUGUAAUGUAUUCGGUGCAUUGUUGUAAUUAG